UACCGCUACAGGAUACUUGACGUGGCAUUCAAGCUCGAGCUACAUGUGAGAUUUAACAAGAAACUUGCCUACAAAGAUGUUUAUAGAAAUAAACAACUUGAUGACACUAAAGAAAAAUUACAGACCCAGGAAAACAUAAUCGACUGGGAUUGGAUGAAAAACUCGAAAGAGCCAAAAUAAGGGAACUGCCGAUCAAAAGGCCAAUACCCUGCUACACUUGAAGAAAAUCGUAAAGGACGUAAAUAUGAGAAAACCAAUAGAGAAGAAGAUAUGAGGUUUUGUCUUAUCUCUUCAUUAAAUCGAGAACCGAUUAAAUUCGAGGAAGCUAAAAAUUCUAGAGAAGGCCACUUAUGGAAGAAAGCUAUAAAAAGAAGAAAUUGAUUCCAUGAUACAAAAUAAGGUUUGGAUUUUGGUAGAUAAAAGGAAUCUUCAAAUAUCUGGAAAACGGGCAAACAUUAUAGACUCGAAAUGGUAUUCGAGAGAAAAUUAGAGGCAAAUGGUCUUAUACGAUACAAAGUAAGAUUAGU